rnacentral:tRNA from 1 species
CGGGACGUGGCGCAGGCUGGUAGCGCACCGGCUUUGGGAGCCGGGGGCCGAGAGUUCAAAUCUCUCCGUCCCGA